rnacentral:rRNA from 1 species
GGUCUACAUCAUACCACCCUGAGCACACCUAAUCUCAUCUGGUCUUGGAAGCUAAGCAGGGUUUGGUAUGGUUAGUACUUGGAUGGGAGACAUAAAUUUUUUUUUUUUAAUUU